rnacentral:rRNA from 1 species
UACGUAGGGGGCAAGCGUUAUCCGGAUUUACUGGGUGUAAAGGGAGCGUAGACGGUAAUGUAAGUCUGAUGUGAAAGCCCGGGGCUCAACCCCGGGACUGCAUUGGAAACUAUGUAACUAGAGUACCGGAGAGGUAAGCGGAAUUCCUAGUGUAGCGGUGAAAUGCGUAGAUAUUAGGAGGAACACCAGUGGCGAAGGCGGCUGUCUGGUCUGCAACUGACGCUGAGGCUCGAAAGCAUGGGUAGCGAACAGG